AAGCUCGUAGUUGAAUUUCGGGGUUAGUAGGUUGGUCAUGCCUCUGGUAUGUACUGGUUUCACUGAUUCCUCCUUCCUGAUGAACCGUAAUGCCAUUAAUUUGGUGUUGCGGGGAAUUUGGACUGUUACUUUGAAAAAAUUAGAGUGUUUAAAGCAAGCUAACGCUUGAAUACAUUAGCAUGGAAUAAUGAAAUAGGACGUUCGAUCCUAUUUUGUUGGUUUCUAGGAUUGACGUAAUGAUUAAUAGGGAUAGUUGGG
rnacentral:rRNA from 1 species